UCCUCUGGCAGGUCGAUUGCGUUGGAUUGGCGGUGGCCGUCUCGAGCUCCAUUGCAAUGACAUGGGGGUUCCGUUCAUUGAGGCUGAGUCCGAUUCAAAACUCGAUGACUUUGGUGACUUCUCUCCUUCUCCAGAAUAUGACUAUCUUAUCCCCACUGUAGACUACACCCUCCCAAUUCAUGAACUUCCUAUAUUGCUUGUACAAUUGACUAGGUUCAAGUGUGGUGGUCUUAGUCUUAGCUUGACUAUUUCACAUGCCGUUGUUGAUGGGCAAAGUGCAUUGCAUUUCAUUUCUGAGUGGGCUAGGCUUGCAAAGGGUGAGCCAAUUGGAGUAAUGCCAUUUCUGGAUCGAAAAGCAUUUCAAGAUCGAACACUCCCAGCUGGAAAUACUCUAGGGCUUGACCACUCAGAGUUAGACCAUCCACCCCUUUUGCUCGGCCAGUCGGAUAAUAUCGAGGAGAGGAUGAAGAGGACCACUGUGGCCAUGUUGAAGCUUACCAAGCAACAAGUUGAGAAACUUAAGCGAAUGGCAAACGAGGGGAAUGAUUACAAGAAUUCUGGCACUAAGCGGGCUUACACACGGUAUGAGACCGUGGCAGGGCACAUAUGGAGAUGUGCGUCUAAGGCUAGAGUUCACAGAAAUGAACAACCUACUGCGAUGGGGGUUUGCGUCGAUUCGAGGAGUCGUAUGCAACCCCCAUUGCCCCAAGGAUACUUUGGAAAUGCAACAUUUGAUGUGAUUGCUACAAGUCUUGCUGGCGACUUAGUGUCCAAGCCAUUAGGGUAUGCGUCGAGCAGAAUAAAGGAGGCAAUCGAGAAGGUGACGAAUGAUUAUGUGAUGUCUGCCAUUGAUCACUUCCGAAACCAGCCGGACUUGACUAGGUUUCAAGACCUUCAUGCUCUAGGGAGUGAUCAAGGGCCUUUCUAUGGAAACCCUAAUCUUGGGGUUGUGAGCUGGUUGACACUGCCUAUAUAUGGGCUUGACUUUGGAUGGGGAAAGGAAAUUUAUAUGGGUCCUGGACCGCAUGAUUUUGAUGGGGAUUCCUUACUCCUUCCAAGUCCUAAUGGAGAUGGUUCUAUAGUUCUGGCUUUGUGUCUACAAGUGGCGCAUAUGGAUGCUUUCAAGAAGCAUUUCUACGAAGAUAUUAUAUAAAUAACUUGUGCCAAGACCAGAUAUAUAUUGUCUACGUUAUAUAGAUGAAAAAUAAAGAACAGAUAUGUGCAAAAUAAUAUAAUUACCAAGUACUAUGGCUUUAGCCUACAUAUAUCAACUUAAUUGGUCUGUAUUAAGAAAUUAUUUCCCUAGUUAAUUGUAAUUCAAAUAAUUUUAGUACACAAAUGGAAGUAUUGUAACCCUUUAUAAUUGUAAUUGGGAAAUUUGCAUAAAUACCACCUCAAUUUUUAGGCAUGUGUGCCAUUACCACUUGAACUUUUAUUUUUUUAUUUUUAAGUACCUAAACUUUGUAGAGUGUUGCAAUCCACUACCUACAUCUAAUUCCGUUAAAAUUUCGGUUAAGUGGAAGGUCAUUUUCAUCAGUUCACUAAAAAACUAAUUUUAAAAAACAUAGUUUUAAAAAUAAAAAAGAAAGGAUAUAAAAGCAGAGACAGAAUGGAGACUCUGGCAGUGUUUGGCGGAGCAAGUCCAUGUGUUUCCUCACCCUUCAACGCUCAGCAGCUGAGAGAAUCUGCAGCUUAUCUUACAACCACCACAUGAAUAACCGUUUUCUCAUAUUUCCCAUCUCAUCCUCAUGCUAAAAGCCUCACCAAACCUCGCAACUUUCUUCCCCACUUGGCUGCUUCAUUGGAACAAGUUGAUGAGACAUACAAAAUGGUGAAACCUGAUGGAGUUCAGCAUGCACUUGUGGGAGAGAUAAUCUCAAGGUUUGAGAAGAAGGGGUUUGAUAAUCCAAGAGACAAAAGCAGAGUGUUUGUGGUCGGGUGUGGUGGGGGAAAUGGUUUAGGGUUUAGGGUAAUGCGUAUAAUUAGGUUAAUUUUAUUUUUUAAAUUCCGUUUCUUUAAAUUUAAUGGAAAUUUUAACGGAGUUAGACAUAGGUGUUGGACUACAAUACUUUACAAAGUUCAGAUGGUAAUAAAGCACAUAUACCUAAAAGUUCAAAUGGUAUUUAUGUAAAUUUCUCAUUGUAAUUAUACUACCAAGUUCACAAUAACUAUACAAGUCUCAGGUCAACAGUUCGAGCUUAUGAUUCUUGGGCUCAAGGCCCGAGGAUCGAGUUCAUUUGGUGAUUGAGGUUUGGGGCUAGACUUCAGAAUUUUAAGGAUCAUGGAUGGAUGAGUUUGGGUCAUAGCCUGCAACUCAACUAUGCAGGGCAGUAGGAUUGCAAAAUAAGGCCCAAGGCAAAGAGUAUAGAAGUCAUUCUAUAGUGAGGGUCUUAUCAGAUGAUGCCCUAUUUCUUAACUAUUAGUUUGAUCCAACGAUUAAGAGAUAAGAUCUCAUCCAAUUUUUAGUCUUUUUUUUUUUUUCGUUCCUUUGGGGAGGGGGAAAGGAGAGGAGCUUUUUAAAAUGGUAAUAAAACAAAAUAUAAGAUCUGAAUGGCAUAAAUUAUUACCACAGAUAUUCUUCCUCAGAAUUGACACGAUAUAAUAUGAACAAAAUUAUAGAUUAAGGGAUUUUCCAUUAAAACCAGAAUCACAUUUAUUAUUUCUUAAUUCAAAAUUAUUUUUUUUGGGUCAAAAUUUCUUAAUUCAUUAUGACACUCUUCACAGAAAAUAAUCCCCCAAAAUUCUGUCAUUCUCUAUAAAUAAUUAAAUACCAAACAUGUGAACCCCACAGCUACAGACACGAAGAUGGCUGCUUCUCACAUCAUCAUUGUCCUCCUUGUAUUCACUGCAGGUAUAUUUUAUCAGUUGGGCUUGCAUAAUUUGUGCAUGUGUAUAUGGAAGUUUUGCUGUCUUUUUUUAUAUGUUUGCACUUCCAACUUUUAUUUUCAUGCUUUGAUUCUUCUUUUGUUUACUCGAUUGAAAAUCACCCCAAAUCAACGAACAAGAGUAUGGGUGUCUUGCCUUCUACUAUGUGGCUUGACGAUCCAAAUUGUUUGUUGUUUAUUUUAUGAGUCAAUUCUUUUGUUUAUUUGUUUGCUUGUUUUUCAUUUGCCAUUGAGAGUAAAAUUCUACGAACUAAUUCAUCUAGGAUGAUGGUAUUAGGGACCCUGAUGCCUAUAGUGAAAGGUGACAUUUGCACAGAAGAUUUGGGUGCAUGCGAUGAUGGCUGCAAUUCAAGGUGCACAUCUGCACAUACUGGGGCUAAGGCCGGUUGCGAUUUGAACAACACCACCCCAGUUUGCAGAUGCUACUUCGACUGUCCACCUCCAACUCCACCGCCAUACUCAAAAACUUGCAAACUGAGUUUGGGAAUAUGGGGAGAAAACUGCUCUGACGAGGACUGCAACUCAGAGUGUGCUGCUAAAUAUCCUGGACCCCAACAAGGAAUGGGGUACUGUUAUAGCGUUGGAGCUCCUUUUUAUACUUCUUGUUUUUGUCAAUACAAGUGUUAGCUUUCAGCAGCUUGAUUGAUUUCAUUGUCGCCAACAAAAUAUUACCAUUCACUACUUGUUGGCACCUGUUGGAUAUUUCUGCUAUUUAUAAUUAUUUAUUUAUUCUGAAUUUGAAAUUUAUUUAUAAUUAUUCUUAAAAAAUUAUUGUGAAAUGUUAUGUUGGUUUUCUUAUUUUUUUUUUUUUUGUUGUUGUUGUCAAAGUUAGGAAGAGAGAGAGAGGGGAAACUUACACACACAUAUAUCAUAGAGGCUUGAACCCAAGACCACUUGGAAGCAUGUCAAAGGAAUAAGUCAAUCCAACUAGCACCCUUUGAUUGAAAAGUUAUAUCGGUUUAGUUGAAGUGAAUAGUCGUAAAUUUUGACUAAAGGGUUAAGUAAAAGUUUUAUAUAUAUAUAUAUAUAUAAAGCUUUCAUAGAAGGAUCUCUCAAAUAAGUUUAUUUGAGAGACAUACUUGUAGGGCUCACUUCGCAUUGUAUUUCACUAAUCCAAACCGUCUGUUUUUUUAGAAAUUAUUCAAGGAUCAUCUUCACAAAAAAAUCACUUGAAUCCAAUAUCAUUUAACCACUCAAUUGAGUUAUUUAAAUUUUAGCACUUUCUUGAAACACUUUGUUCAUUGAUUUUGUAGGAUACUAUUGGAUGUUGAAAUGGUUUCCGAUUUGUCUAAUUUUUUGCAAGGAUGAUCUAUGAAUGUAGACUUAAAAAACAGAUGGUUUGAAUCAUUGGAAAAAAAUUCGUAAAACACCCUAAAGGUGUCUCUCAAAUAAAAUCAUUUGAGAAAUCCCUCAAUAAAAGGAGACUAUAUAUAUGAAUUUCUAUUCCUUACUCCAUCGAUAACCCAGUGUCUUCUCUUCUUCUUCCUAUCUUAGUGCUACAAAGGAAUUUGACUCUAAGCAUUGUGUAUGCCAGAUUAAUUGCACUGAAUCGAUUGAAACCAAGUCGUGGCAAACCAAUUUGGUCGGUGCCGGUUUGGGAUUUUGGACAACUGACUUGGUCGGUUUGGUUGGCGACGCGAGACUCUCGAUUUUCGAACCAAUUCUUUCCCCAAACUACUUCACAUACAAAUGCAACGGGUUUAUGGAAAGUACAAAAGGAAGCACGUAACUUGCCAAAAAAGAAUAUUUAACAAAUAUUUAUGAAUAGUAUGUUAAGAUAAUAGAUUCUUUUGGAAUUUAUCUUUUACAAUGUGUUUCGUUGUUAUAUUUUUAGGGGAAUGCUAGCAACAUUCUCUCUAACCUUCUCCUUUGUAUCUUCUCCCUUUUCCUCAUGACAUGUGUCAUUCUUAUUACACUAAAAACAAUGUCAUUAAUGCAUUAUACAAGCUAACUUUUGCUUUCCAAAUUUACCCUAUUCAAUUGAUCUAAAUUUUUUUUUUUGACAACUUUCUUACCAUCUUAAUAAAAAGUUUAAAAAAUAAAAAAAUAAAAAUUUAACGUCAGUUAUUUUUGGGUCUUUGCUUCUUUUUUGUACAGGUUUUGGCUCUCCUCUAAGCCUUUUUGCCUUGGGUUGUUAUAAAUGUUUUUCUUCGUGACCAUUAAAAAUAGAGUAUAGCAACAUAUUAUAGCCGUUUGUACAAUAUAGAUGCAAACCACUCUUUUGUUUUUCUUUUGUUAAUCUAAACUGUAAUUUAUUUAUUUAUUUUCAUAUUGAAUUCGAUUUUGAUGAUUUUCCUUCUAUAUAUUUUAUCUCAACCUAUGUUGUUAGGGGAUAUUUUGGUUUAUUUAGUAGUAUAAGAAAAUGCAAUUAAGAAAUUUUCUUUAUUAAAAAAAAAAUUUAGUCUGUAAACUCUAUACCAUUGGGGUGCUUAAAAAUGUGAAUGACGUCUUUUUUAUAUAGAAAAUAGAAAAUAGAAAAUUCUUUUGUGUUAAAAAAGAGAGGAAAGCAGACAUUUUCUUUCAAAAAAAUAACUUAUGUUAUAAAUAAAAAUAAUUUUUUUUAUUAAGAUGGUAAGAGAGUUGUUUUUAAAAAAAAAUAAAAAUUAAUUGAAUAGGGUAAAUUUGGGAAACAAAAGUUAGCUUGUAUAAUGCAUUAAUGACAUUGUUUUAAGUGUAAUGAGAAUGACAAAUGUCAUGAGGAAAAUGGAGAAGGUCCAAAGAAGAAGAUUAGAGAGAAGGUUGCUAGCAUUUCCCAUAUUUUUAUGCACAAAUUCUCAUUUUUAAAUGGACCACUCAAAAGUCUAUGAAAGUCAUUUGAAGUCUAUAAAAAUUCAUUGAACUUGGUGGUAGAAGUCCAACAAAUCCACAAAGAAUUCAAUCAAAAUCAAUGUGACGACUAUAAAUGUCAAUAUAAGAAUCAACAAACUCAGCAAAAUUUUAAAAUUCAUUGAAUGAUAAUGUGGAUAUGGCGUGGUUAAUAGCAUUUAUUCUUGUAUAUGAGGUCUUGUGUUGGAUUCCAUCAUCUCUUACGUGUUACUGUAAAUAAUUUCAUAAUAAUUUUAAUUUGUUAUUAUAAGAGCAGUUCCAUUAGUUAGCUAGGGCUGGGGCAAGGGGGGCCCCAAGAAGAAAUUAGCUAGGACUUCGUGGUAGUGAAACAAAUAUUUGUGUACGAAAAUGUGAAGAAAUUAACUUUAAAAGAGUAAAACUUGAAAUUCGGCAACUUUGUGGUAGCAAAGUGAAAAAUAUCCACACACACAUGCAGAUAUAUAUAUAUAUAUAUAUAUAUAUACACCAAGAGCUUCCAUUAUAUAUAUAUGUAUAUAUAGACACACCGAGAACUUCCAUUGAGGGAUUCUUCAAAUAAGUUUAUUUGAGAGAUACCUUCGUAGGGCCCACUCCAUAUUAUAUUUCACUAAUCCAAAUUGUCUAUUUUGUAGACACUCAUUCAAAGAUCAUCUCUACAAAAAAUCACUUGAAUCCGAUAUCAUUUGACCACUUAAUUGAAUAAUUGAAAUUUUAGUAUUUUCUUGAAACACCGUGUUCAUUGAUUUUGUAUGACACAAUUGAAUAUUUAAACUUUUUUUGAUUUAUCUAAUUUUUUGUAAAGAUGAUCUAUGAAUGUAGACUUAAAAAAUAAAUUAUUUCGAUUGUUGAAAAAAAUAUUUGGAGGAGACCCUAAUGGUAUAACAAAUCGAAUAAUAUGACCAAAUUUGAGCAAUUCCAUUCUUAAACAUUGGGAGGUCAUUUCGAUGAUAUUUGAAUCUCAAGAUUAUUCUAUAUAUUAUUUUAUAUUUUCUUUUAUAAACAUUUAAAAUUAAAGUAAAUUAGAAAAAGAAUUCAAAGAUCGAUCAUUGUUGGCCAAUCUGAUCAUGCCUAUAUUACAAAAUUGGCUCCAAAGCCUGGCUUCCUUGGCCUCUAGACAUUGAAAAUGAAAAUUUAUGAAUGAAUUUUAAAUUAUUUAAGAAGAUAUAAAAUUGUCUCCUACGCGGAGUUUUUUUUGGGUGGGGUGUGUUUGGGCCACUUUUCUACUAUGGUGCCACCCUAUGUGCAAUGAGUUCUCUCUUAUCGACACUCUAAAAUAAUCAUCUUACACCUCGGAAACGUAUAUGAAAACCUUUCUGGAGUGCUUGUAGAACUAUGAUUAGUACGAGAAAACAUAUUAUGCUACUUUCAAUUUGUACAGGCCAUUUCAUGGACACAAACUAGCAUGACUUUAUAGCAUAGAAAAUAUCCAACUAAACACAUUGCCAGUGACGAGUUCAUCUCAAUUUAUAGAUAGUAAGAUUUAUCACCAUACAAAAACUCCACUAGCAUACUAAUUUGAACUAGGAAUCACUGCAUAGAAUACUAGCUAGAAUCUAGAAUCCAACGAAGAUUUCUCAAUCCUAUUCAUACAAUUACCGGAAUCCAUAACCUUCAUCAUGUGUUGCCCUCUCCCUUAUCUUCAGAUGAAUCCAAAGCACGUUUCUUCAUCAUCUCGAUAUUUUCAAUAUUAUAGCAAUAUUAUUGUAAUAUUUUGGUCAAAUGUUGUUGAAGGGUGUGAGAAAUUAUCGACAUCAAUAUUAUCAAUAAUUAUACGAUAUAUAUAUAUAUGUAUAUAUAUGUUCUAAAAUAUCCUAAACUCGAAAAAACAAUAAUAUCGAUGAUAUUUCUUCGAUAUUCUCGAUAUUUUAGUCCUUGAAGAAAACAAUUUAGCAAUUUACCACCUAAACUUCAUUUUUGGUGCAAAAAACUAAAUUUUUUCAACACACCCCUAAUAAUCCAGAUGGUAUAUGUGCAAAAUUCCCAUAAUGAAAUUUUAAGAAAAAAGGUAAUAGUAUGAGCAUUUCUUUUUGGAACUUGGAAAGAGAGGGAAUGGACCAACGUCUUAAAUGAUAAAAAAUGUCUAUAUAUAAUAUCUAAAUGGUAAAAAAUAUCAAUCUAUAAUAUCAAAAUGGCAUAAAUUUUAAAAUAUGACACAAUUAUUGAGUAAGGGAUUUUCCAUUAGAACCAUGAUCACAUUUAUUAUUUCUUAAUUAAUUAUGACACUCUCUUCAUCAUGGAAAAAAAUUCCCAAAAUUUUCUUUUUCUUUAUAAAUAGUUAGAUAGAAAGGAUGAGAAUCACACAGUAAACACUCCGACACAGGAAUUUUAUGAAGAUGGCUACUCUCUCUCGAUCUUCUUGCAUCAUCAUUGUUCUCCUUGUCUUCACUGCAGGUAUAUUUUUUCAUUUGGGCUUGCAUGAUUUUUUACAAAUGUGUAUGUUGAAAUUUUACUUUGGGGAUCAAUAAAAGCUAACUAAUUAAGCGUAGAGAUUUUUCCACUCUCUUUUUCCUGUUUGCACUCCAACAAUUGUUUUUAUCUGUUAAUUCUUCUUCUUAUUUAUAAAAAAAAAAAAAAAAAAAAUUGGUUUUCAUUUAGCAUUGAUAUUAAAUAAUUAAUACUACCUAAUCUAAGCUGAUGUUUUAUAGGGACCCUAAUGCCCAUGGUGAAAGGUGACGUUUGCACAGAAGACGUAGGUACAUGUGGUGAUGACUGCAGUUCAAGGUGCGCAUCUGCACAUCCUGGGGCGAAGGCUGCCUGCGUUUUGAACAACAUCCCAGUUUGUAGAUGCUACUUCGACUGUGGACCUCCAGUCCCACCGCCAUACUCAAAAACUUGCAAAUUAAGCUUGGGAAUAUGGGGUGAGAGGUGCUCUGAGAAGGACUGCAACUCACAGUGUGCUGCCAAAUAUCCUGGACCCCAACAAGGAAUGGGAUACUGUUAUAGUGUUGGAGCUCCUGUUUAUACUUCUUGUUUUUGUCAAUACAAGUGUUAGCUUUCAGCACAAGGAUUAUGGACAUUCAAAUAAAGGGGCUAAUUAAUUUCAUUGUGGCCAACAAAAUAUACAUGAUUUAUUUUCUUUCUUUAUAUUUUUCUUUGAAUUUUUAUGAGUGUCGCUAUUAUCACCCACUAGGUCUAAUGUGGAGUCCCAAGUGCCUUAUUGAGCAAAUUUCCCAAGUGGUUCCCGAACUUUUGAAAAGUCCUCAUUUUAAUCCUCAAACUCUGAAAUCAAUCAAUGUGAUCCUUCAUCUUUUGGUCUACACAUCAAUUUGAUCCUUCAUGUCGCAGUACGACAAAAUUGUCAUUAGAUUUAAUCACAUGACCAACUUUAAAUAGGUACUUUCAUAAGAAUAUAGCUCAUUUUAGUUCUUAAACUCAUAGUUUUGCUCAAUAAGGCCAUAUUCUCUCUAUUUAAGGUUUUAUAUUUGGGUUCCAUUAAGGAGAACAGAUAGUCUUGUUGAAAAAAUACGUUGAAUUUAUUUUUGUCAUGAGGGGAUAAAUUGUAUUUCAAAGGAAAUACAGCUUUAAAGUUAGUCAACAAAUAUUUGAUGGAAUGCGACAAGAGGGACCAAACUAAUGCGUGGACCAAAUUAAGGACCACAUUGAUUAAUUUCAAAAUUUGAGGACUUCAAUGAUCCAAGCCACUUAUUUUUCAAGUCUUUAUUCAUAGAUCAUCAUAUGACGUCCGCAUCAUAAUAAUGUUCGGCCGUCCGCAUAGGAGAACUUCUAUAUAUACGCAUAAUAAUCCAAGCUGCCUAUUUCUGCCUUGUUCAAGACUAGGUUGCUUGCUGCUAUUGCAUCUAUUUAUAUACUUUUGCUCUUUUUUACCUAAUGAUUGUAUUCAUGCUGUGAAUCUUUUAACUGAGAGCUAGCUCCUCUAACUCUUCAUCUCUAUGGCACCCUUGUUAUCUGUACAACUCCUCAUUUGAGAGCGCAGCUAGUGAUGACGAUGAAGGGACUGAAGCGUUUGACUUGGGUUGAAUGAAGCGUUGGGUUUUGUUUUUUGGAUUUUUGGAAUUUUUUUUUCUUCUUUUAGGCCAUAAGUUACGCUGUCAAUCUUCCCCCAAUAAAAACUUCGGGUCUCACUUUCAUGCUCUGUGAUGAAUGUGCAUUAUUCGUCACAUUUAGUAAAAAAAUUGGGGGCCAAAUUUCCUGCUAUUUAAUAUGUGACGACACCGAAAUUAUAAUCUGACGAACAUGAAGUGAAAAUUUUGUUACGUCCCUUCAAGACGUUUUGGUGACGACUUGCAAAAUUCCUCACUUAUACAAGCCAAUUGUGACGGAAUUUUCAACACCACAUAAAAUUUGGUCACAGAAUGCCUAGUUUCUUGUAGUUUUUGUAACAGUGUACCUCCUUAUGGGUCAUCGAUAAAGUUGACGUCGUCGUAGUGCCUCAACCCUUUUCCGCUCCAAUUCAUCUUCGUUUCGUUUCUUAAUUAGCUCCUUUAUAUUCUUUACUAGAAUCUCAUUCGUGAUAAGUUGACACGAGUGACACCUAUUAAAUGCCAGAUACUUCUCAUUUUUCCUAAACUUUUGGCAUACUAUAUAAUACAUAAUCGAAACGGCUAGCUUGGAUAAAAUAUAAUCAUGAGUGAGAUCAUAAUCGAUCACAUUCAUUCGGAGAAUAUCCUUAAAAUUAAACUUUCAUAUUUUGAAGUUUGAUCUAGUGAGUGUUUCAAUUUGUGAGAAAUUGAUUAAGGAAGGAUUCGAUGUUGUAAGGAUUUUCAAAAGAAAAUAUAAGUACUUUCCAAGAAACCGAUUCUCAAUUUGUUAAGAGAAAACAGUUUUUCAGUUUAACUUUAAUCCACAAAACUAACAAAUAACAGAUGCAAGCUUCCUUGAUUAAGUAUCACACCUUUGUAGCAAGAGAUUACUUAUAGCUUACAAACAAAUUACGUAUUAUUUUGUGCCAUCAUAAACAAAUUACAAAAUAGAUUCUAUUUGUUGAAGAAACUUAUCAAGUAAUUUAGGUAUGAUAUAAUUUAGGUUAUUUCUUUAGGGUUUGAGUAUUUAAGUUUGGUUUUGUUAUGAAAAAUUUGUUGAUUCUCAAAACAAAAGCAAGUUCCUAUCUAGCACACAAAAAUAACCAAACAGAACACAAUCUGAGAGAAAACCUUAAAAUUACAGUGAACAAUGUUUUUGACGUGAACAGUGUGGGAACCAAAUUAAACCUGAACCAUAGGUCAAAUAAUUAGGCCAAUCAAUUUGGGAAUUAUUUGACCUAAUUAGGAGUUACCUAACCUAAUUGGGAGUUACCAAACUUAAUUGGGAAUUACCUAAUCAAAUUGGGGGUUACUUGAUCCUCACCUUAAUUAGGGAUUCGGUUAAAUCCCUAAUCCCUAAAUACACCAACCUCACCAACCACACCAAUCUCACCAACUACACCAACCCCACCAACCUUUCCAAGGUCAUUAUAAAUACUUGGUUACGCAUAAGGAUGAGGUACGUCAGAAUUACUGCUAAAACCUCUGUAGAGAUCUUCCCUCACAGAGCCUAGCUACCUCCUCUCUCUCUCUCUCUCUCUCUCUCUCUCUCUCUUUCUCUUUCUCUCUUUUACAUAAGGCUCCGGCUGCCCGGUUUAUAUUAUAAACAUAUCUCCAUACCCUAUUAGCUAUUAUUUUCUAUACGAUUCAAUUGAACUAAUUUAGGCAUCGGAAGGCCUUUGCCCAACACCCCCCGGUGUGGUCCUCGUAUUUGUUCUAUUUUGCAGGGAGAAAGAGGCGGCAAAGAAGAAAGAGGAAUCUUUCCAAUCGAAUAUUCUCGUGGAGAAAUUUGCUCCCACAAAUUGGUGCUUUCAUUGAGAGCACGAGUUAUACUCAACGCGUGCUCAAGGAAUCCGUUCCUCCUAUUUUCCAAUCAACUAAAGCCAUUCCACCCACGAUCCCGUGAUCGACAUGGUGGCGCCACCACCUCUCACCACCGUGCCACCUACCGGACUUCCAGCUGAGACCACUGCACCGGCCACCGCCGCCGAAUAUGGUGGAACCUCCCAUCAAGGUGGGCUCGUUACCACCGCCGACUUAGGCUCAGUCUUGGAGCAACUUCAAGCAUUUCCUCCAUUGCUUCCACGCUCCACACACUUCUCACCUCUCGAUCCACGAAGUCAAGCAAACCUUAGUCUAAGAGUUGGCCAGCUAGCUCAGAGAAUGGACGACCAAAGCAGUCUGAGGAGGCAGCUUCUCAACCAAAUAAGCUUGGCUCAAAACCUUGGCCUUGGAUAACCGGGCGAAGAGAGAAGGAUGGACGAACACGAUGGUAGGCAGCACGACGAGUACCAAGCAGGACGAGCAAGAGUAAGCAGACAAGGCGAUGGACAACAACGUGAUCGGCCUGCCGACAUGUCGCAGGCAUCUGUGAGCCACACUCAGAGCAGACGAAGUCACCCAUCCAGGUUGAGCCUGAGGAACGACGUGCGCGAGAGGCUGGGCCCACGAUCUGACAUCCAUGUCCGCCUGGGCCCGCAGGGAAAUGUACAUCAAAGGCUAGGUCCCCAGUGAGGUCAGCUAAACAACCAUCUCAAUGAGGAUCGUGAAGAAAGACGCUUAACUAUCCACUCGCAGAGGAACAUUCACGAAAGGCAAGGCCCCCAGGGAGGUUAACUGGAUAACCCUCACAAUGAGGAUCACGAAGAAAGGCUCUCCGCUGCUCACUCUCGAAGAGUCGACUCUCACCAACAAGCUACAGAGAAUCUUUCACAAGUAUAGUCCACCAACGCGCCACCUUGGCAGCGCAGGUGAGAAGGUCGACCCUCGGAGGACAAUGAGGAAGUCAGUCAAUAUUGUGGAGGUCACCAACGUAGUCGACUAGCAAUGUGUGCAGAAGACGUUGAGAAGCUCGUGAAUGACUGACUUCGAGACUUGAAGACCGGAGGAAACUUCGAGGAUUCACUACGUAAGGAGAUGGACCAGGUGAACUCUACUCCUUUCACCCUCGAUAUCGAGCAGGUUGCUCACCCAAAGUGAUUCUCGACACCCGCGUUCAUACACUUCAAAGGGGAUACCGAUCCCGAGAGCCAUUUAAAACACUACAAAAGUGUUAUGAUCCUCCACCAGGCUGACGACGCGCUAAUGUGCAAGGUAUUUGCGAUGACCUUGCGAGGAGCAGCCCAAGACUGGUUCCACACCCUACCAUCCGGGUCGAUCAGCAGCUUCAAGGAGCUGGCUUACGUCUUCACCAAAGAAUACACCUCUUACCGGACAAUCAAGAAGAACCCUGACCACUUGUACAACCUGCGCAAGAAGUUUGACGAAUCCCUUCGAGAUUACAUCAAGAGAUUCAAGGCAGAAAAGGCGAACAUUGUAGGAUGUGACGACCGAAAAGCGUCCUUUGCUUUCAAAAAAGGCCUUCCAACUGAGCACGACUUGUACCGCGAGCUGACUAUCACUCUCAGCCAGACUCUGGCAGAGGUCUACGUGACUGCGGAACGCUAUGCACUCUGGGAUGACAAUUAAAUCACCGCAAAGAAGUCUACAAAGCAGGAAGAUCAGUCGAUUAAGCGGGCAGGCCAAAGAAGCGACAGAUUUAACAACAGGAAUAAGGACUAGCGUAUGUCGCACCCACAAAGGGAGGCUACGGCAAGAGAGAACUAUACCAAGUUCACCAUCCCCAUACACCAAAUCUUAGCCCAAGUGAAGGACAAACCUUGGGUAAGAAGACCGCCACCCUUGAAAGGACAUCCAGACAAGAGGGAUACUAGCAAAUACUGUGCCUUCCAUGGGACGCAUGGGCACACUACAAACAACUGCUUUGCUUAGAAAGCGCACCUUGAAGAACUUGUGAGAGAAGGCCACUGCACUGAAUUCAUUGCGAAGCAGGCCAUCCAACAGAUUGAGGAUUGAGACACCGCCAAGGAGCCGCCUCAGAAGGUCAUAAGGAUUAACACAAUCCUAGCCGACUUCGAGGAGUUUGGGCUGACCAACAAGGAAAAGAAGAGGAAGAUCAAACAGGCCACUGUGAUUUCCCAAGUCUCGACCGACCUUCCAUCAGUAGAAGACGAUCCUGUGAUCGGCUUUCAAAAGAAAGAUCUGAUCGGCCUCGACAUGCCACAUAACGACGGCCUUGUCAUCAGCAUUCAAAUCCCCCAGGCCAUGGUCGACCGAAUCCACGCAGAUAAGGGCAGCAUAGCCAAUAUCCUACAACUGUCGGUCAUCCAGCAGAUGGGCUUGGAGACAAAGAUCAACAAAUCAGCCAGAUCGCUGACCGGCUUUAAUGGUGCAACAAUAGUUAUCGUGGGCAGGAUAAACAUCGACGUGUACUCCCUACCUGUAAUCAGCUCACAAACAUUCAUGGUCAUUAAUGAGGUCUCACCCUACAAUGGCAUUCUGGGGAAACCAUGGAUCUGCAAGAUCAACGCCAUCACCUCCGAGACAUAUCAAAAAAUUCGGUGCUCAAUUCUUAGAGGCGGUGUCAGGCAAUGGCGAGGAAAUGCUCCGCCCAGGGGCUGAAGAAAAGCAAACAAGCACAGUUCCUUUCUGUGAGCCAGGCAGAUCUGAAUGAAGAUGAACAACCGAAUCUUGCUCUCUUAUAGUAAUCAAAGCGUUAAGACCAAGCUGAGGAAAUCCGUCCAGAAGUCUUUCCUGAAGAAGGAUGGAAACCCGAGGAGGAUGUCGAGUUAAUACCCUUGGAUCCUGACCAACCAGAUAGAAAAGCGCGGAGUGGCUCGCGCCAAAGCCCAGACGAGAAGGUAGAGCUUACCACCUUCCUCCAGAGUAACAAAGAUAUGUUCGUGUGGUCACCAUCAGACAUGCUUAACAUCGACCUGAACAUCAUCGGUCACCGACUCCACGUCAACCCGCCCUGUAAACUAGUGACGCAGAAGAGACGCAACUUCGCACCCAAACGAGUCGCUAUCAUCGAAGUCGAGAUUGACAAACUCCUAGCUGCCGGCUUCAUCUUAGAGGUCUACUACUCAUAGUGGCUUGCCAAGAAAAUGGCAAAUUAAAGGUUUGCGUCGAUUAUACAGACCUUAACAAAGCAUGCCCUGAAGACAACUUCCCAUUGCCGAGAAUCGACAAACUCGUGGAUUCCACUUCUGGCAAUCAACUGCUCAGCUUCAUGGACGCCUACUCCAGUUAUAACCAAAUCUUGAUGCACGAGGAUGACAAGGCAAGGAACUUCUUUCAUCAUCGAAAGAGGGACCUACUGCUACAAGGUCAUGCACUUUGGGCUGAAGAACGCCGGAGUAACCUAUAAAAGGCUUGUGAAUAAAAUCUUCAAGAAGCAGAUCGGCAAAACUAUGGAGGUUGACGUGGAUGACAUGUUGGUCAAAGCCCCAAAACGUGCAGAUCACAUCAAAAAUCUUGCCGAGGCAUUCAACCUGCUUCGCCAGUAUUGCAUGAUGUUGAACCCGAGUAAGUAGACAUUUGGUGUAUCAUUCGGCCGAUUCUUGGGAUACCUAGUCAUGAAACGAGGUAUCGAGGCACACCCGCGUCAAAUCAAAGCCAUUCUCGAGAUGAAGCCACCUCAACCGAUUCCUCUCGAGAUCUACCGACAAGUGCAAACUAUUUUUCAAAGCUUUGAAGAAAGGACAAAGAGACAAAUGGGAUGAGGAAUGCGAAGUAGCUUUCCAUAAUCUAAAGACUUACCUCACUUCACAUCCCCUGCUCUCAAAGCUAAUUCCUGGCGAAGACCUAUACGUAUACCUGGCAGUGUCCAACUCAGCUGUUAGCUCAGCUAUCAUCCAAGAAGAACUGGGAACCCAACAUCCGGUAUUCUACAUGUCAAAAGCUCUCCUCGAUGCAGAAACUCGCUACCUGAAGUUGGAGAAGCUCAUUUUGGCUCUUAUAGUUUCCACAAGAAAGCUACGAUUCUACUACUAAGCUCACCGAGUCGUCGUCAUGACCGACUUUCCUUUAAGAUCAAUCCUCCACAGCCUUGACGCUUCUCAGCGACUUAUGAAGUGGGCUAUAGAGCUAAGUCAAUACGACCUCCUCUACCGACCAAAAAUUGCAAUAAAAGCCCAAGCUUUAGCAGACUUCGUCGCAGAAUUCACCCCAUCAGUCGAAGAAAAGAAGCUGGUAAACAAAAAUAAGGAAAGUUCAAAAGCAAACGGAGCAUCGAACCAAAAGGAAGCUGGAGCAAGAGUCGUCAUCACCACCCCGAAUGGAACACUGUUGGAGCAAGCUAUUUCGCUUGGAUUCCCAGCCUCGAACAACGAGGCAGAAUACGAGGCAUUGCUCGCCGGCCUACGCUUGGCAAAAGAGCUCGCAAUCAAGAAGCUAGCCAUCUACUCAGAUUCACAGUUGAUUAUGAAUCAAGCCUCAGGUGAAUACAUGGCGAAGCACCCAAGGAUGAUCUUGUACCUUGACAAAGUCCAAGAGCUGUUGAAGGCAUUUCCUACCUUCACCAUCCAAUAAGUGCCCCGGGCAGAGAACGAGCAUGCAGACGCACUGGCAAGCCUAGGGUCAGCGCUGGAUACCCAGUUCAGACGCUCCAUCCCGGUCGAACACCUUGACCGACCAAGCAUUGAAGAAAUAGAGCCGGUCAACAUAAUGCAGAUUGACGAGGACCCCAGCUGGCAAGAUCCCAUCAUCGACUACUUGACGAAUGGAAACCUGCCUACGGACAAGUCCGAAGCUAGAAAGGUCCAGCAGAAGGCCGCGAGAUACUACAUGCAUAGCAACAAGCUCAUCCGCAGAUCAUACUCCGGCCCUCAUUUCACCUGCAUAAAGUACCCUCAAACACUUGAGGUCCUCUGCAAAAUUCACGACGGCGAGUGUGGCAACCACUCUGGGGGCAGAUCGCUCGCCCAGAAGACUUUAAACAUAGACUACUUCUGGCCUACCAUGUGCCAUGACUCCGCCGAAUAUGCUAAGAAAUGUGAUCGCUGCCAACGAUACAAGUCGGUCCCUAACCUACCUGUUGAAGUCUACCAUUCGCAAAACAGUCAAUGGCCAUUCAUGCAAUGAGCCAUUGACUUAGUGGGCCCCUUGCCACAAGUACCCGCCAAGAAAGAAAUGAUGAACGUCGCCACUGAUUACUUUAUUAAAUGGAUCGAGGCCGAAGCUCUUUCCUCUACUAAAGAAGCCGAUGUGGAGCGAUUCAUCUGGAAAAACAUAAUCUGCCGGUUUGGCUGCCCACAGUCGCUGGUUACUGACAAUGGCUCGCAGUUCAUUGGCAAGCAGAUCACCGCAUUCUUUGUGAUAUACAAGAUCAAGCAACACCUCUCCACCCCGAGGUAUCCACAAGGAAAUGAGCAGGCCGAGGCAUCCAAAAAAGUCAUAUUAGACUGCUUGAAGAAAAGGCUAAAAGGUGCUGAAGGGAAAUAGGUGGAUGAAGUCCUCGGACUACUAUGGGCUUAUUGCACCACUAAGUGAAGAUCGACUGGCGAAACCCCAUUCUCCCUCGCCUAUGGGACAGAAGCGAUCAUCCCCUUUCACAUCACAGUCCCCUCCAUAAGCCUUGAGGUGGGCAGUGUUGAUAAGAACUCCGAGCAGAUGAGGCUCAACCUUGACUUACUUGAGAGCGAGCACGAGAAGACCAUUAUUCCAGUCGCCUCCUAUCAGUAGCAGUUGAAGUCUUACAAUGACAAAAGAGCCAGGGUCAGACAGUUUCAACAGGCGACCUCGUGCUAAGGAAGGCUUUCAUCACUGCACAAAGGCAAGGGUCAAAAAAGAUUAAUCCCAACUAGGAGGGCCCUUAUGUGAUCAGUCGGGCCAGGGGCAAAUGAAGCUACACACUGGACACCGUGGAUGGAAAGGAAAUACCAUGAUAAAGGAAUGCUCACCAUCUCCAAAAGUAUUAUUUGUAGUGCUUCCUCCUGGCUGCUAGAAGUUCUAAAUUUUUGUGCCUAGUUAUUUCCAUUUUCGAAUAAAGGACUGUAAUCUUAUGAAUAUCAAUAUAAGUUCAGCUUCUCAUUCCAAAAUGUCUCAUCUACCCACAAAACACAACAGUUGCCUAUAAGAAGCGUCCUUAGGGAGACGAAGGGUGCGCUAGGAAUUUCCUAUGAGAGAUAUUUAGGUUCCUAUCCAUUUCCUAAGGGAGGUAAGAUAGACACACAGUUGCCCAUAAUGAACGUCGUAAGAGAGACGCAGGGCGACAACUAGAAGCGUCCGUUUGAAGACGCAGCCCGCGAAAAAAGCGUCCUAAGGGAGACGCAGGGUACACUAGGAGUUUCUUAAAAUGGGGUGUCCAUGCUCUCUGAGGGAAAUAUCCAGGUUCCUAUCUGUUUCCUAAGGGAGGCAGGAUAGACACACAGUUGCCCAUAAGGAGCGUCCUAAUGGAGAUGCAGGGCGACGACUAGAAGCGUCCGUUUGGAGACGCAGCCCGUUAAAAAAGUGUCCUAAGGGAGACGCAGGGCGCGCCAGGAAUUUCUUAAAAGGAGGUCUCCAUGCUUCCUGCGGGAAAUAUCCAGGUUCCUAUCUGUUUUCUAAAGGAGGCAGGAUAGACACACAGUUGCCCAUAAGGAGCGUCCUAAGGGAGACAUAGGACAACAACUAAAAGCGUCAUUUGGGAGACGCAGAACAACAACCAAUGCAUCCUACGGGAUGUGCAGAACAUGUCCAGAGUCCCUCAAGGGGGACCUUGACACUCGUCAACUUCCUAAGGGGAACUAUCCUACGGGACAUGCAGAGCACACCCGGAGUUCCUCAAUGGGGACCCUAGCACUCACAAAUCUCCAAAGGGAAAUGUGCAAUCAAAACACAAGCUGGUUACUCAAGCAGUUCACUAGUCAAGUAUGCAAAUUAAAGUUGGAAAAUAUAACUGAAAUUUCCAUAACAAGCAGACCAACCGGCCAAGUUCAACAAAAAGAAGAUGGUCAGACAAGACCAAUUAUUCUAAACAAGAAAGCAAACUACAAAAGCUGAAAAGAAACAAAGAAGUCUUCAUAUACUCCAAGACGCCAGCAGGAGACCUCUGAUCCGCAGCCACUUCGGCAUCCACCUAAUCAACUACGCCUUCAGCAGCUCCAUCCGUCUGCUCUGCGACAUCUGCCAUCAACUCAUCCACUGCAUCCUCAUCUGCUCCAUCCUCUCCGGCUGCCGCAUGGAAUAAGUCAGGGCAGAACAUCUCAAUGUCUACAUCGUCAAUCGCAUAAAAAGGAGUAGUCCCAUUUGCACAGUGCAGGUAGCCCAACUUGUACGCAUCUAUGGUGGCUUCAGACUUGGAUUUUUUAGCAGACUUGUGGUAGGCACGAAAUUUGGCUAGGAGCUUGUCAUAGUUAAGAAAGACGUUAGCAUUCUUGCGCUGAAGAUGAAAAAAGGCAUCUUUUCGACUAGCCAAGUCAGCAGCAGAAGAGCUGAGCUCGGAAUCCUUCUCUAUAAGAGAGCUUUUCAGCUCAAAUAUCAUCGCCCUCAAAUCAAACGUCUUCUUCUCAUAACGGGCCUGCUUGACAGAAAGCUUGUAGCCCAACUCAGCAUUCUUCUUCUCCAGCUCUGCUGAGGGGCAGCAGCAGACGAGUUUCGGAUAGUCUCGGCAGCAAAAACCAAUCCCUUUUGAAUCAGAUAGAAUGUCGCUUCCCUUUGCUUUUCCAAGGAAAGGCUAAAAAAAGUGUCAAGAUCACCAGCUUGACGGAUGUGAUCGACCAACUCAGUACAUGAGGACGGGUUUAAUAGGAAGUUUGUCUUGAGCGGGUCAGACAUGCAUGUAUCCCUUGCAGGGCAAGACCUAUUCACCUUGGGAUCAACCGCCGAUGCUGAAGAAGAACCCUUCGCCCGGGCAGACGACUCUCUCAUCUUCUUAGCCUCAGCCAACCUCACCUCCAAAGGAGUCAGUGAUGCUGAAUCAACUCCACGCUUGAUUGCCCGUGGCUCAACAACCGGAUUAUGAACAGACUUCCCGCUUCGAUUGCCCGACUGAUGCAGAAGACUCGGACUCCGUAGAGAAAUAUCUGCGUCUCUUUGGCGCUCGGCACAGCAGGCACGAACUAUCUCACGAAGUAGGUCAUGAUUGCCAAGCUCGACAGUAGGAACUUGAGUCUUUUCAGCAAAAUGGGACUUUGGUUUCUUCCUCGAUGGAGACUCAUUCUUUGCGUGCGAAGAAGUAGCUUCAUCUCUUGAAGAUUUGGCAGCAGCCUUUCUCUUUGAAGUGGAUUCAGCCAAGCACUUCCCUUGCUUAGCAGGGAGAUCAUCAGGGUCAGGACCGUUCUACUUCCACCUUUCGACAUCCUCGGUAGGGGGCAAACCACCGUCUUCCUCCCGGUGCUCACUCAACAGCCAGCACCACUCGCGAAACCUUAGAGGGAUGUUCAAAGCACGACAGACCUUAGCCAUGUCCCGUGCAAGCUCCAAUUGCUUGCUGAUGUCACUCACUACAAGCGGAAGACAAAAGUUAGUUAGCCACGCUUCAAGAAAUUCAAAUAAAAAGGAGUAGAUCAAAAACCGCAAAAAGACAUACUAUCACAGUAGGUGAUGGGAACAAGUGGGCCGUCACCAACAACGCCUUCCCACCGUCCGCUGACUUCCAACACAUCGUCAUGCCAAGCGUGAUCUCUUUGACUAAGACUGUCAAACAGCUUGGCCUUGUAAAUGCGAACUUGGGCAUACUCCUCGAAGUGCCUCACUUCGAAAAAAUAGAAGAACUCCCGCACCAUCAGCUCCAGCAUAAAGAAACGGCUCAGAUUUUCAAAACAUAUGACAGCCCGGUAGACAUUCGAAGUACACUGACUCGGAGCACAUCCCAUGGCGCAAAACACCUCCUUGAAAAGCUUUGACAUCGGGAACUUGAAACCCAAGAAGAAGUAAAAGGGAUGGAACGUGAUGACUCUAGCAUUUGGAAGGUUCGCAUCCACGCAGGGCACGGCGUUAGUCAAAGGCUUUGCCAACUUGAUAUGCACAUCGUCAGGAAUUGCAGAAGCAUAAGCAGCUCGCCACCUCUAGAGUUGACCUACAUUCAUAACGCGGUGCAGGUUGGCCACAAACCUUUUCUCGUGCACCUCGGAACCUCCCCACAAAUACAAAGGCACCUGAGAGCUUGGAGCCUUGCUACCAUCUCCGGAAGACAUGAUUGGUCAACGAGUAGUUGCAAAAAGAAAAAAAUUCUACAAGUUAGAAUACAAGAAAUAUUUGCAAGUUGGAAAAAAAAAAGAAAAAAAAAGACAGCAGCAAAAAUAAAUAAAUAAAUAAAAAUUGAGCUGCUGGGAUCAGCCCAAGUCAAAGGAAGUCAGCCCAGCAGGUGCUCCAGCACGAAACCCAGCAGUCGUGACAGCCCAGCUUGCUCCUCCAGCACACCACAGGCCGAGGUAGCAUGCUAGGCCCUCCUAGCCUUUCUGACCAGCUAGCUCCAGCGCCUGCAUUCGCAAGCCCACGCCAUGCGAAAAGCCCAAUGCUGCCUCUCCUAGCGCGAGCCCACUCCGCGCCCCAGGCCUGGAGCCACCAGACUACCAGUUUGAAGCCCAGCGUAGCCUGCUCGAGCCCACUAGCCUCCAGACCUCCAUGCUCGAGCCCAAUGUGCGCAGUCUCAAACCUGCCAGCCUCCCAAAGUCUCCAGCCAGGCUUCCAAUUAUAAUUACGUCCCGUGCCUCACAACUCCAAUGACCAGCUAGAAGGCAUGGUCCAAGCUGCCAAAAAAUUGGAAUAAAAGGAAAAAAAUUAUGAACAGCCCAAGAUUAAUUACCUUGGGUGUGUAGCGAGGACAAAGUCUCAGGCACGUUGAAAAAAUCUCCAAAGUUCUCUCUCUCACUGGCAAAUUUGGAGGAAUGAAUUUUUGAUGUGAAGAAUAAAUUAGAGGAGCCCUACAUUUUUAAGGAGCAAAAUCCCUUGACCUACAAUGAAUCUCAAAACCUUUCCAAAAUGGGAGUUCAUAAAAUUAGCAAUUUGAACACCUCCUCCACUCGGGAGCCCAGGUCCACGAAGGAAGCCCAAUUACAACCCAACAGACAGUUUACAUCUCCUACACGCAACCACGCACCAUGCACUAGGGGGCAUUUGUGGGAACCAAAUAAAACCUGAACCCUAGAUCAAAUAAUUAGGCUAAUCAAUUUGGAAAUUAUUUGACCUAAUUUGGAGUUACCUAACCUAACUGGGAGUUACCUAACCUAAUUGGGAAUUACAUAAUCAAAUUGGGGGUUAAUUGAUCCUCGCCUUAAUUAGGGAUUCGGUUAAAUCUCUAAUCCCUAAAUACACCAACCUCACCAACCACACCAACCUCACCAGCUACACCAACCACACCAACCUCACUAACUACACCAACACCACCCAACCUUUCCAAGGCUACUAUAAAUACUUGGUUACACACAAGGAUGAGGUACGUCAGAACUACUGCUAAAACCUCUGUAGAGAUCUUCCCUCACAAAGCCUAGCUACCUCCUCUCUCUCUCUCUCUCUCUCUUUUACAUAAGGCUCCGGCUGCUCGGUUUAUAUUAUAAAUAUAUCUCCGUACCCUAUUAGCUAUUGUUUUCUAUACGAUUCAAUUGAACUAAUUUAGGCAUCGGAGGGCCUUUGGCCAACACCCCCCGGGUGUGGUCCUCAUAUUUGUUCUAUUUUGUAGGGAGAAAGAGGCGGCAAAGAAGAAAGGGAAAUCUUUUCAAUCGAAUAUUCUCGUGGGGAAAUUUGAUCCCACAAACAGUGUUUUUGGAGUUUUCGAUGUCCCUUUUUAACCCAAAAUACCUUUCCGAAUAGAGAAUGGCGUAACUAACAGAACUUACUGCGUAGCAGUGACGUAAGGCCAUUUUUAGGUUUUAAGGUCAUUUAGGAUGUCAAAAAAGGUUUUAAAGUUUUGAAGAUAUAAAAAAUCAAUUGAAACAUGCUUUUUCCAGAUUCUUUAAUAUUCAUAGUAUUUAGAAAGAUGUUUAAAACUGUUAUCAAAAUUUUAAACAUAACCAAAAUAGUCAUGACAUCAACGGAUAAAGAAAUUGCAAUAGGCAUGCUUGAAACGAUCUCAGUGUGUGUGAGUAACCAUGUGCUCUGAUACCAACUUUUAAAUUUUCUAUAUAAGUGUCCAUUAUCUUUCACAUAAUAUGAACCAAAACACAACUUAGUAGUUUUUCACCGCGUAGUAGUAUUGCCAAGCAUACACGUAUUAUAACAUUAGUAUAUUAAUAAUGAUUAAUUUUAGUUUGGUGCCCUGAACUCUCACUCUUAAGGCUUGUUUGUUCCUACGCUCUCAAUUUUAACAAUAAAGUACGACCCUAAGCUUGGAAAUUUAUUGCAAUUUGGUUCUGUAGUUAGAAUGACUAUUAAAAAAUAUGUUAAUUGAUAAUGUGGCAAACGUGGUACCUGCUUCUUUAAACUUGAUUAUAAUAUUAAUAAAAUAUUACAAAUCAAUUAAAAAUAAAAAUAAAUGAAAAUAUAAUGAAAUUGAAGGGGAAAAACAGUAACCCAGAACCCACCGUCCUCCACGGCCACCACAACCAUUGGUGCCACCCUUGAAGCCUAACAAGGUUUUCAUGUAUGAUUACAGACAUAGCAGCAAAGAAAAAAACUCUUAUAAACAGAGCCAAAGUCACCUUCUCCAAACUUGUUAGAGGACUGGAAGCCAUUAGUGGCAGACUUCAAUUCCUUGGAAGAAAAAAUUCUGAAGCUUUCUUGAUUUUAGGGUAUUUAACAAGUACAAAAAAGCAAUCAAGAACACAGUAAAAUCACAACAAAAAUACAGAGGCACACAUGCUUGAUUUUGCCAAAGGUAUGUACUUGACAAUGCUUGAAAGCAGAAAUCUUGGAACUCACUGUGGAUCUUGUAGAGGUUGUACGGGUAGAGAUUGACCAAGAAUGACGAAUUUGUGCCCGGAGGAACUGGAGCAAGGAUCUUAUGACGGUGUCCAGGACGAGCUCUUAGAAUUGAGCGGAGGAAGGGGAAAUGGCGUCGUGACGACGUUGAUAAUUGAGAAGGUGGUGGAUACAGACAUCUUGUGGAUGCCGAGGUCACCGAGGGGAGAAAUUAUACAAUGAUACGGUAUCACCAGGUCCCACUCAACUGAGGGAGGGUGUGUUGAAGAAUAUGAGUCCACAUCGGAAACUUGAUUAAAUAAAGACUUAAAUGUCAAAAUAGUCCCUGUGUUUUAAUCAUUUGGCCAAUUUAAUCCCUGUGUUUUUAAUUUGGCCGAUUUAGUCCUUGUGUUUUCCUCCGUUAGCUAAUAUUAUCCAUUCCAUUAAAUUAUUAUUAAAAAAGUUCAUUAAAGUUUUAAAAAUUAAUAAAAACUGUAAUUAUUUUAAAUAAAAAAAAAUUACAAGUUCACUUUAAUGAUUAACAAAAUAAAGGCCUGCAAGCCUCAAAUUCUCCGAUUGAUCACCACCGAUUCAAGCCUCUAAUAAAAAGUUAUCCGAUUUGCAUCAACACCGCCAGUCUCUUCUACAUGCCCGUAAUACAAUUCAUGGGGUGGAUAAAAACAUUAGCAAGAGUAAAAGGGCCUCGACAGCCAUGAAAAGAAGGAUGAACAAGAACAAAUGGCUCUUGCAAUCAUGCUUAUCCUUUAUCUUAUUAAGCUUACCUGCUAGCCUACUGCUGCACUGCCUUGUGCCUAUUUUUGUUUCUCUUAACAAAAAGAUUAACAAAAUAAAAAAAAUUUGGAAACCCAACCUCUAAACCCUCUUCUUCUCUCCAACAGCCAACACCAAACCACCAUGAGCGAUCCCACCCAACCACUUCCCCCCUGGAAUGUGGUGGCUGGUCUUAAUUUUUUAUUAAAUAAUUAGAGAUUUUUAAUUAGUUUAAAUAACAUUUAUGAAUUUUUUAAACAACAAUUUAACGGAAUAGAUAACAUUGACUAACGGAGUAAAACACAAGGACUAAAUCAACCAAAUUAAAAACACGGGGACUAAAUUGGCCAAAUAAAUAAAACACAGGGACCAUUUUAACAUUUAAGCCUUAAAUAAAAUACAAAAUAUAAUGAAUGGUUCUACUACUAAUAAUACCGAGGCCUUUUGUGAUAAAACCUCACACCUACUGGACUUUGUAGGUGGUUAAGUUGGGGACAAUAUCGGGGUUGUUAGUAGUGGGCCGCUAGCCCGUCUCUCUGAAUUUAACAUGGUAUCAGAGCAGGUUGAUUGACUGGGCCUGAAUUGGGUCUCUACCCUUACCCAAUAUGUGAUGUUCACAUGUUGGGCUUGAGUGUUUAUUCUUACCCUUUACCUAAUAUGUGGUGCUCACAUGUUGGGCUCGAAUGAUUGACUCCGAUGUGAACUUGGCUCCACGUGUGGCCCACUAUGUAGUGGUCUCACAUGAGGAGGCGUGUUGAAGAAUAUAAGUCCCACAUUGGAAACUUGACUAAAUAAAAUACAAAAUAUAAUAAAUGGUUCUACUACUAAUAAUACCGAGACCUUUUAUGAUUAAACCCCACACCUACUGGACUUUGUAAGUGAUUAAAUUAGGGACAAUAUCUCGCACGUCUCAUACCAUGUUUAUACUUCUUGGUCCCUAAUGCGCAUUUACAUGAACACACACCUGUUUCAAUUAUCCCAUAUAUGAAACAGAGUAUUUUUAAAUAUAUAUAUAUAUAUAUAUAUAAUUUCGAGAAAUUAAAUAUUUUGUUACAUAUUUAGUUUAUAAGUUAUAUAUUUAAAUUGAUUAUAUAUAUAAUUAUCUUGGUAUGUGUUAUAUUUUCAGAAAUUUUUCUUAUUAAUUAUUAAAAAUAAUAAUACUAUAAUAAGUAUAUGUUUUGUUUUAGAUAGCCUUAUCUCGUUGUUACUUUCUGCAUAUUAAUACUUGAACAGCUAAGUUCAAUAGUCUAGUUGUCAUCUAAAUCUUUAGACAUGCAACACUUAAAACUCACAGGUGUCAAAAAAAAGACUCACAUGUGUCAUUAUACCUAGAUGACUAAGCUCUAAUUUAGCAUGAGGUGUUGGCAAUCUAGUUACAUCUAAACUUGAAGCCAAACAUUAUCAGCUGCCAUACAUUGGACCAAUUGAAGGAAAGUAGUUGCCACGUAUGUAGUACUAUAAAUAGGGACCAUUCCAUUUCAUCUUGAAGAGCAAGGGAGGCAUGGUUUACAUGAGAAAUAAGAGGGAAAGAAAGAAAGAAAAAGAGAAAAAGGACGAAGAGAGAGAGAGACUGCUGAUGAAAUUCUUGGAGGAGAAAUAGAGUGUAGUUUGUGAUUUCUUAAACUUUGAACUAGAUUUGGAAUUAAGGUAGGGGGUUUUUUGGGGCCUUUACGAAGAUUGAUUUAAUUAAAUUUCGUGAGCAUUAUAUUAUGUGUUGUACUAUAAUUUGGUUGAUAUUCUUUGUUAUUGGGUGUUUACGUGUUGUUAAUUAGCAUUAUAUUAUUUUAUUAAUAUUGACAUGUUCAUAUGUUAUUGAAAAUGAUUGGAAUUAUUGGGUUGAUAAAGAAAGUUUGGAAAAAAGGGUAAUAGGAAGGAUCUUUUGUAUAGUUGAGUCUGACCAUUGUAGGAACUAAUUUCAGGCGAGCCCGUGUGCACAGUAGAAUAGGAUAUCAGUGGUAUAAUUGUCAAUUAUGUGAUUGCAUAUCAUUUAAUUUAGUUAUAUCAAUCUACUGUGGUAAAGUCUCAUGUCUCUAUUAAGCGGUGGUUGCUUAUCCCUCUAAAAAGUUUGAUUUGCAGGAAGUAAGAAUACUAAGGAGGGAACAGUGUCCAUAAAUCAGUUCUAUAAAAACCAAUACCAUAUCGUCUGCCACAUCUAUUCAUAACCUACUCAAAUUUUGAAAAAAAUAAAAACGAUGGUGGUGAAAAUCAAAGGCUGCUAUGUUCUGAAACCCUCUACACCAACAUUGCAAGGUAGCCUAGCUCUCUCAGAAUCGGAUCAAAUUGACACCAUAAGUCAUGUUAGCAUUAUCAACUUCUACAGACCAGACCAAAACUUUGUCUCACAACCUGACGCCAUUGUCAACACUCUCAAAGACUCAUUAUGCCGCGCAUUGGUGCCAUUCCAUCCACUAGCCGGUCGUUUGCGUUGGAUUGGCGGAGGCCAUCUCGAGCUCGAUUGCAAUGGCAUGGGGGUUCAGUUCAUUGAAGCUGAGUCCGAUUCGAAACUUGAUGAUCUUGGUGUUGGCGAGCUCUUACUUAGUUAGGAUUUUGGUUCCUUAUUUUAUUAGAAUUUUGGUUACUUACCAAUUAUUAUUUAGUCCUAUUGUAAUUUAGAUAUAUUUCCUAUUUUAUUUAGGGUUAACACAUCUUUGUACUUGUAUAAAUACCUCAAUAUUGGAGAAGAAUAAUAAUAUGAGUGUAUCUUAGCAUAACUGAAUAUUUACCUUACUUUGUUUGACAUGGUAUCAGAGCCAGGUUCCUAACCUGUGAUAACCUCUGCCAAGUUGAGAGUCGUUGGCACUCCUCAUUCCUAACUCAUCAUGGGUCUUCAUCUUGUAUAGUCAUUUUCUUUUGUUCAUCCUCUCAUAUGUGUUUUCACCGCACCUAGUCUUCACAUUCUUCUUUGCUACUGUUCCAAAAUUUUUAUUUUUCAUCUUUGUAGGCCAUAUGGUCUUUCUUGAUGUCUCAGCUUCUCUAUCUUUGAAACUUCAUAACAAGUCUCUUUACUCCGUGAGCCUCGUCACCGCUAACUGAGCCAUUGCUUUCCUCCGCGAGUCUCGUCACCGCUCGCCGAGCCUUUCCUUUGACUGUUCUGCGGGUCUCUGUCUUCUUUGGCUGCUCUCUUGAGUUGCUUUUCCGCUUCUCAGUUUGAGCAUCUUAUCUUUGUCUCUGUUCAUGAUUUGCUGGGUUUCCUCCCUUACUAUUCUCCUUUUCUGAAGUUUUUUCUUUAUGGGACAGCCGUAUGCUACCACCUUCCCCUCUUGCAUUUUUUUCUGCCAUGAGACUGGCAUGUUUGAGUCUCUUUACUAUUAUUUCAAUUUCUCUUCUUUCAAAUCUCGAUCCUUUACCAGUGUCAGAUUUGAUUGGGAGAUAGAUGCAACUUCAUUUGGGUGCUGUAACUUUAUUUUUCGGUGUUGCUUUCUCAAAUCUCGACUCUUUUAUAUCGUCAGAUUUAAGGGGGAGUGACACCGCUGCUCAUCUAUUCUGCUGCAAUUUAGCUACCUAUCUGCCAUGGCUGAUUCUUCUACAUCUGAGCGUCAAUUAGCUUCUGUUUCUUAAGUGCCACUUUUCUUAUGGUUUCGAAUACCCCUUCUCUUCAGGAGGAGAUGGGGCGUGAAGAGAAGUUGUCUCUGCAAUAAUGAAAGUAUUUGUUAUUGUUAUUGUUGCUAACUACUAUGUCUUUUGCUAGUGCCAGUACCGUUGCUCAUCCUUGUUAUGUCUCUUGCUGGGGACAAUGUUAUUGCUCUUGCUUAUUAUGACUCUUGUUGGGGACAGUGUUGAUUACUGUUGAUGAUGCUUGUUAUGUCCCUGCCUUGUUGCUCUUGCUGGUGCCAGUGCCUUGUAUUGCUGUUGUUUGGUACUAGUAUUUUGCUCCUGCCUAUUAUGACUCUUGCUGGGGACAGUGUUGAUUACUGUUGAUGAUGCCUGUUAUGUCCCUGCCUUGUUACUCGUGCUGGUUUGGUACUAGUAUUGUUGCUCCUGCCUGUUAUGGUGCCAGUAUUGUUGCUCAUGCCUUUGCUGGUGUGUUUCUGUUGUGGUCGAUAUUGCCACCGUUGAUGUUGUCUUUUCUUGCUUCGCUUUCCGUUGAUGUGGUCAUUGUCGUUGUUGUUGUUGUGGCCUUGCCCUUUGCCUUUGCUUCUGCCUUACCUACUGUCGUACUCACAGGGUUUCUGUGUUCUGUCUUAUCUAUUGCCGUGCUCACAAGGUUUUUGUGUUCUGCCUUAUCUACUGCCAUACUCACAGGGUUUCGGUUUAUGUGUUUUGCCUAAUCUACUGUCGUGCUCACAGAGUUUCUAUGUUCUGCCUUAUCUACUGCCAUCCUCACAGGGUUUCUGUGUUCUACCUUACCUACUAUCGUCCUCACAGGGUUUCUGUAUUCUACUAUUUGCCCUAUUUUUUACGGUUUGCUCUUGUGUUUCUGUUGCGAACUUUGCUUUAGUUUGUCAUUUGUUUCACUCGUGGUUGACGAAAAGACCUUAUCUACAAUUAGUGCUUCUCAAGUAUGGUGUUCUGUGACUCGCUUGUCAAGUUGGGCGUGCGAAAUAUCUUUGCCCAACUUGAGGGGAAGUGUUGGCAAGCUCUUACUUAGUUAAGAUUUUGGUUCCUUAUUUUAUUAGAAUUUUGGUUACUUACCAAUUAUUAUUUAGUCAUAUUGUAAUUUAGAUAUAUUUCCUAUUUUAUUUAGGGUUAACACAUCUUUGUACUUGUAUAAAUACCUCAAUAUUGGAGAAGAAUAAUAAUAUGAGCGUAUCUUAGUAUAACUGAAUAUUUACCCUACUUUGUUUGACACUUGGUGACUUCUCUCCUUCUCUAGAAUAUGACUAUCUUAUCCCCACUGUAGACUACACCCUCCCAAUUCAUGAACUUCCUAUAUUGCUUGUAUAGUUGACUAGGUUCAAGUGUGGUGGUGUUAGUCUUAGACUAUUUCACAUGCUGUUGUUGAUGGGCAAAGUACAUUUCAUUUCAUUUCUGAGUGGGCUAGGCUUGCAAAGGGUGAGCCAAUUGGUGUAAUGCCGUUCCUGGAUCGAAAGGCCUUUCAAGCUCGAACACUCCCAGCUGGAAAUACUCUAGGGCUUGACCACUCAGAGUUAGACCAUCCACCCCUUUUGCUCGGCCAAUCGGAUAAUAUCGAUCGAGGAGAGGAAGAAGAAGACCACUGUGGCCAUGUUGAAGCUAACCAAGCAACAAAUUGAGAAACUUAAGCGAAUGGCAAACGAGGGGAAUGAUUACAAGAAUUCUGGCACUAAGCCGGCUUACAC
rnacentral:lncRNA from 1 species